rnacentral:rRNA from 1 species
GACGAACGCUGGCGGCGUGCCUAAUACAUGCAAGUAGAACGCUGAAGCGAGGAGCUUGCUCUUCUUGGAUGAGUUGCGAACGGGUGAGUACCGCGUAGGUAACCUGCCUUGUAUCGGGGGAUAACUAUUGGAAACGAUAGCUAAUACCGCAUAACAAUGUAUGCCACAUGUUAUUUAUUUGAAAGGGGCAAUUGCUCCACUACAAGAUGGACCUGCGUUGUAUUAGCUAGUAGGUGAGGGAAUGGCUCACCUAGGCGACGAUACAUAGCCGACCUGAGAGGGUGAUCGGCCACACUGGGACUGAGACACGGCCCAGACUCCCACGGGAGGCAGCAGUAGGGAAUCGUCGGCAAUGGGGGCAACCCUGACCGAGCAACGCCGCGUGAGUGAAGGAGGUUGUCGGAUCGUAAAGCUCUGUUGUAAGUCAAGAACGGGGGUGAGAGUGGAAAGUGCACACUGUGACGGUAGCUUAUCAGAAAGGGACGGCUAACUACGUG